rfam:Nelumbo nucifera unplaced genomic scaffold scaffold00135, whole genome shotgun sequence
AGCCGCGCGAUGAGCACAGAGCGAACUAUUCUUUCGCCUUUUACUAAAGAAUACCGUGUGCUCGUCGCUCCUAGCGGCAUACGCCUAUUUUUUGAGGGCUAUUCUCUUUCCUGAGAUGGC